UCGGUUCCCAGAGGACUUGAGGAAGUGUUGUCAUGGAGACGGCACGCACCCCACCCCCUCCCAGGCCCAGGGUCUCCGGCACGGUGUCUCAGGUUCUCUCCUUCCGCCCCCCUUCCCCCGCCCAGUCCCUUGCUCUCCAACCAAGAUCUUGCAUCGCCCCCUGGCGGCCUAGCUCGGCACUGAGCCAGGUUCCGAAAUGUGAGGGGGGCUGCCCGCGGCUAACUCGCCUAGAGGUAGGGGGACCUACCCUGCAGCCAGAUCUUUCUCCUAGUCGCCAGGACGCGGGGGGUGGUGACUCUAGUCCGGCUCCCCUUUCUUCGCUGACAACAGAGGCCUCGCCUGGCGGACGCACCUGUCUCCCCACCUCCCACCAGCCUCAGCCCAGGUGGAUGUCGGGUUACCCGAUGAUAGUGAGGGCUGCGGCCUUCUCCUACUCUGGGUUGUGACAUGGCUGAAAGAGGAGUUACUCCUCGGAUCUCAAAGGAGGGCCAUUUGGAGGUGGUCAUGUAGUGCUGCUUUAUCCCUUGUAUCUGUAAGAAGUAAAGGAUUACGUCGGAGGUCGGGUCAGACAAGCCUCAGAGGAGCCUGGCUAGAGAUACUGCUACCCAGACCCAAGCGAUUUCCAGGGUCAGUGGAGGCAGAUUUGAGUGCUUGUCUCUUGCUCCGGUUUCCAUGCUUCAAUCCACUCUGUCCCUUCAACAUUCAAAAGAUAACUCUCAUCCCAGAUUCCAAGACAGAUUCAUCUGAAGGUGAAGAGACACAACCACAGAGACCCAAUACAUAUACUGAUAUACCACGAAGGAUUCACAUAAAAAUGCACAUACAAGUAUAACUAUUUGCACAUACACACACUUGUUUUAACAAACAAGAGAAAAUGCCCUGCAGUAGUAAGCACCACCAGAGGCUACAGUGGUUUUUGGAGCUGAUUUCUACAAUUUCCAUAUCCUGCUGGGAAUUUCAAGGUCAAGUGCCCCCAGUGGACACUUAGGAGAAACAGCUACAGACCAGGAAUGUAAUAAAGGGUAAAGGCUGUUGAAUUUAAAAACCUCUCAGCCUGUGAGAAAGCCACGUUUGGUCUGGAUGAAGGCAGAAGUCACUGCUCCUUGAAGGUAAGAAGAAUUGAUCCUGUCUUAUGAGCAAGAUUAAUUCUGGAAUUCACUCCACAGCAUCUAACUAAGAGUGCGAAAACUCUUAUGUGAAAAUCUUAUUUCUAAAAUGGGAAAAACUGUCAAAAUGCUUCCCUCUCACCAGAAGAGGGCACUCUGAUAUCCCACAACAGAGCAGAAUGGGGAUGGUUGGAGGCUACAUUAAGAUCUCCUCCCCACUAGAACCCCUGAAGCUGCUUUAACUGCAGGGUAAUGCGGUGUCAGGGUCGGGUAAAAGGGAAACAAACAAGGGUAGCUGUACUUGGUCUGCUGGGAGAGUUCUUGGCAGAGGCAGAAAGAGACAGGCUGCAUGGCAUAAGCCUAUUCACCUGAUAGCUGUCCCUUCAAAGAAGGCCUUUAGCUGUUUAACACGAUAUUCAUCUAUUUCCCACUGGAGGGAAAGGAAUAGAGUACAGAGACCUGUUGAAAGUGUGAUAUUGAGGAUGCAGCAUGGGUUACGAAAAGGCAAAAGACCCUAGUUCAAGGUCUACGAUUGUGACCUCAGGCAAGUCAUUUAUCCUCUUUGAGUCUUAAAUUUCCUCUUCACAAGGUUCUGGUGAGAAUUAAAAUGACACAAUGUAUGUGAGCACAAAUGAAAAGCAGCUAAACAAAUCUAAGAUAGGACUUAAAAAGCAUUUUAUCAGCUUCCUCACACUCACAACCAAAAAGUAAAGCUGUCUAUAGGAAGAGUGAGUGCAGGAGACAGAGGUAAGCACUUUGUGUCUCAAAGGCACGUGAGUGGUGAGUGUAAUGUUGGUUUCGGAGGGAAGGAAAAAAAGAAAGAAAAAAAAAACCCACA